AUGUGCCCGUUCCACAGCCUCGCCGGAACCAUGACAAACUAUGCCAUCAUCGAUGCAGCUCGGACGGAGAGGAAUGUCGUGCUCCACGUCGUCGAUCUCGGCAGCGCUGACGCCACCCAGUGGCUUAUCCUCCUCCACCUCUUUGCCAAGCAUCCAGGAGCGGGCGCACAUGACGAAAUCCUCCGUUUGACCAUUGUCAACGAGGAGGACGAGUUCCUGUCUGUCACCGGUGCGCUCCUCGCCCGGGAAGCCGAGAGCCUGCAUAUCGGCUUCCAGUUCCACCCGGUGAAACUCCACAUCAAUCAGCUGCUCAGCGUCGAGCCCCUCGGUGUCAGGAGCGGCGAAGCGCUGGUCAUCGUCUUCACCCUACAGCUCCACCAUCUGCUCGCUGACGAGCUUGUAGUAGUGGCUGCUCGUCCUCCUGACAGGAAAGGCAAAGUGCGGGCCCAUGCUACCAUGACGAGGGAUGACGCGCUCCUCCGCGACGUAGCGGAGCUAUCGCCGAAGCUCAUGGUGGUGAACGAGCAGGAGGCCAACCACAAUGGCGAGUUCAUGGGCUGGUUCAACAACAUGCUCAACUACAUGGGGCCCUGUUUGAUGCCCUGGAGGAGAGCUUACCUGCACGCGGGUCGGCAAUGGAGCGAUCGGAUGUGGAACGGUGCUUGUUCCUGCAGGAGAUCAGGGAUAUCGUUGCCUGUGAUGGCGUGCAACGCCCACGAGCGGAUGGUGAAGUGGGCGGAGCAGAUGAAGGCCGUCGGACUCGCGUCUACGACAAUGAGUGCAGACGCAGUGGCGCAGACGGUGAUGCUGGGGCAGAUGGUGACCGGCUGCAGCAGGGCGUACAGGGUUUCAAGUGAGAAGGACGUGUACUUUUACAUCCACUGA
rnacentral:rRNA from 1 species